rnacentral:piRNA from 1 species
UCACGCACACAUCACACACCUUGCUGGUCAC